UUCCGGAUGGCGCAGUGGUUACCGCAUUUGCCUAGUAAGAAAGAGAUCCUGGGUUCGAAUCCCAGUCCGGUAC